UACGUAGGGCGCAAGCGUUGUCCGGAAUUAUUGGGCGUAAAGAGCUCGUAGGUGGUCUGUUGCGUCCGCUGUGAAAACCCAGGGCUUAACCCUGGGCUGGCAGUGGAUACGGGCAGACUAGAGGUAGGUAGGGGAGAAUGGAAUUCCCGGUGUAGCGGUGAAAUGCGCAGAUAUCAGGAGGAACACCGAUGGCGAAGGCAGGUCUCUGGGCUGUAACUGACGCUGAGGAGCGAAAGCAUGGGGAGCGAACAGG
rnacentral:rRNA from 1 species